AAAAAUGCACUUAAAAAAAAAAAAAAAAAAAAAAACGAGAUGGGAUGAAUGAACAAAAAUGUUUGUUUUCUUUCUUUUCUUCUUCUUU
rnacentral:ribozyme from 1 species